rnacentral:rRNA from 1 species
GGAUGAACGCUGGCGGCGUGCCUAAUACAUGCAAGUCGAGCGAACAGAUGAGGAGCUUGCUCCUCUGACGUUAGCGGCGGACGGGUGAGUAACACGUGGAUAACCUACCUAUAAGACUGGGAUAACUUCGGGAAACCGGAGCUAAUACCGGAUAAUAUAUUGAACCGCAUGGUUCAAUAGUGAAAGACGGUUUUGCUGUCACUUAUAGAUGGAUCCGCGCCGCAUUAGCUAGUUGGUAAGGUAACGGCUUACCAAGGCAACGAUGCGUAGCCGACCUGAGAGGGUGAUCGGCCACACUGGAACGGAGACACGGUCCAGACUCCUACGGGAGGCAGCAGUAGGGAAUCUUCCGCAAUGGGCGAAAGCCUGACGGAGCAACGCCGCGUGAGUGAUGAAGGUCUUCGGAUCGUAAAACUCUGUUAUUAGGGAAGAACAAAUGUGUAAGUAACUAUGCACGUCUUGACGGUACCUAAUCAGAAAGCCACGGCUAACUACGUG